GUGUCAGCAGCCGCGGUAAGACAGAGGGUGCAAGCGUUGUUCGGAAUUAUUGGGCGUAAAGGGCGCGUAGGCGGCUUCAUAAGUCAGAUGUGAAAUCCCGGGGCUUAACCCCGGAAGUGCGUCUGAUACUGUGAGGCUUGAGUCCUGGAGAGGGCGGUGGAAUUCCCAGUGUAGAGGUGAAAUUCGUAGAUAUUGGGAGGAAUACCGGUGGCGAAGGCGACCGCCUGGACAGAGACUGACGCUGAGGCGCGAAAGCGUGGGGAGCAAACAGGAUUAGAAACCCCCGUAGUCC
rnacentral:rRNA from 1 species